GUGAGGAAUAUUGCACAAUAGGCGCAAGCCUGAUGCAGCAACGCCGCGUGGACGAUGAAGGCCUUCGGGUUGUAAAGUCCUUUUCUGGGGGAAGACAUGGACGGUACCCCAGGAAUAAGUGUCGGCUAACUACGUGCCAGCAGCCGCGGUAAAACGUAGGACGCGAGCGUUAUCCGGAUUUACUGGGCGUAAAGCGCGUGCAGGCGGUCUGUUAAGUCGUGCGUGAAAGCUCCCUGGCUCAACCGGGAGAGGUCGUACGAAACUGGCAGGCUUGAGGGCAGCAGAGGAGUGUGGAAUUCCGGGUGUAGUGGUGAAAUGCGUAGAUAUCCGGAGGAACACCAGUGGCGAAGGCGACACUCUGGGCUGUACCUGACGCUAAGACGCGAAAGCAUGGGUAGCGAACGGGAUUAGAAACCCUGGUAGUCC
rnacentral:rRNA from 1 species